rnacentral:rRNA from 1 species
UUACUUCGGUAAUGACGUUAGGAAAGCGAGCGGCGGAUGGGUGAGUAACACGUGGGGAACCUGCCCCAUAGUCUGGGAUACCACUUGGAAACAGGUGCUAAUACCGGAUAAGAAAGCAGAUCGCAUGAUCAGCUUUUAAAAGGCGGCGUAAGCUGUCGCUAUGGGAUGGCCCCGCGGUGCAUUAGCUAGUUGGUAAGGUAAAGGCUUACCAAGGCGAUGAUGCAUAGCCGAGUUGAGAGACUGAUCGGCCACAUUGGGACUGAGACACGGCCCAAACUCCUACGGGAGGCAGCAGUAGGGAAUCUUCCACAAUGGACGCAAGUCUGAUGGAGCAACGCCGCGUGAGUGAAGAAGGUUUUCGGAUCGUAAAGCUCUGUUGUUGGUGAAGAAGGAUAGAGGUAGUAACUGGCCUUUAUUUGACGGUAAUCAACCAGAAAGUCACGGCUAACUACGUGCCAGCAGCCGCGGUAAUACGUAGGUGGCAAGCGUUGUCCGGAUUUAUUGGGCGUAAAGCGAGCGCAGGCGGAAGAAUAAGUCUGAUGUGAAAGCCCUCGGCUUAACCGAGGAACUGCAUCGGAAACUGUUUUUCUUGAGUGCAGAAGAGGAGAGUGGAACUCCAUGUGUAGCGGUGGAAUGCGUAGAUAUAUGGAAGAACACCAGUGGCGAAGGCGGCUCUCUGGUCUGCAACUGAC